rnacentral:rRNA from 1 species
ACGCUCGACACCUACGAGAGGCAGCAGUGGGGAAUAUUGCACAAUGGGGGAAACCCUGAUGCAGCGACGCCGCGUGAAGGAAGAAGUAUCUCGGUAUGUAAACUUCUAUCAGCAGGGAAGAAAAUGACGGUACCUGACUAAGAAGCCCCGGCUAAUUACGUGCCAGCAGCCGCGGUAAUCUGAGCGGGCUGGCAAGGC